UCCUUCGACUCCUACUGGAAUUACCCCGUCAGCUGCUCCAGCCCUGUGCUGGAAGAGGGGCAAGGGGUAUGGUGAGACGUGUUGGUAGAUGGGGCACUGGGACGAAGGGGAAAGCAGAAAAUUAAGCCUCUGUUUUCGCCUUCCCCUACCCCGCCCCUCCCGCCCCCGUAAUUCCAGAAUGUUGCUUCCGCCUCCUUUCUUUUGCUGCCAGGCGUAGGUGUGGCCACUGGGACGAAACCUGGCAGAAAAUUAAGCCUCUGUUUUCGCCUUCCCCUACCCCCUCCGAGUAGGGGUUCCACAGCGCAGGGAGACAAGGAUGGUGGCCAGUUACCAGAAAAUCAAGGCAGAUGGAAAGGGAGGAAUGGCCUACGGGGGCCAUGCAGGGGCUGCAUGGAGGAACUGGUCAGCAUGCACAGAAGUGGAUGGCAGUGGGCCAGGCACAGUGGCUCACAUCUGUAAUCCCAGCACUUUGGGAGACUGAGGUGGGUGGAUCACCUGAGCCCAGGAGUUCGAGAGCAGCCUGGACAACAUGAUGAAACCCCAUCGCUACUAAAAAUACAAAAAUUAGCUUGGUGUGGUGGCAGACACUUGUAAUCCCAGCUACUCAAGGAGGUUGAGACAGGCGAAUUGCUUGAGGUGGAGGUUUCAGUGAGCCAAGAUAGCGCCACUACACUCCAGCCUGUGGGACAGACCGAGACUCUGACUAAAAAUAAAAUAAAUUUUAAAAAGGUGGACCGCAGUGGUGUGGGAAUGGACCUGACAGACCUCCCGUUAUGGAAAGCUUACACAGCCAAGGGCCAAAGGCCAACCGCCAUUCUCUGAAACCUGUCCUGCAUUUGUGCCAAGGCCACACUUCCCACAGGCUGCUCCAGCCAGUGACCAAACACAGCACGGACACUGUGACUGGCCCAUUCUGGGAGACAUGGGACUCCUCUGAUGUCCAGCUUUGCUUUGGGGACUCCCUGAUGGCCUUGCCAAGCCUUCCUGAUAAAGCACUUUGGUCCAGGAAGCUUCUACCCGACCUUCCUUCCUCUCUCCUUCACGCAGGGUCAGACUUACAAUGUGGUCUGACAAUUCCCCCAGCAGUUCCUGGCUCUUGCUCCUUUCCUCUCACAGGUGCUUCUCUUGAGAAAAUUCUUGCAUGCUUAAUCCCAAUUUGAGGGAUUAUUGGGACAAUUAUUGGGACCACUAUUGGAAUGGUUGACAAACUGUCACUAGGGGUGUGUAAAUUAAAUGGCCGUAUCUUAUAAAUCCAUGUUAAUUUCCCGGUAUAGAUGACAGCGCUGUGAUUAUAUAGGAGUAGGUCCUUGAUGUUUAGGAAUUACAAGGUGAAAUGUUUAGGAUAAUGGAGCAACUUACUUUCAAAUGGUUCCCAAAAAAUUAUAGAUAGAUAGAUAGAUAGAUAGAUAGAUAGAUGGAUAGAUAGAGUGAGAAAGUGAGAAUAGUAAAGCAAAUGUAUAUAAAGUUUUGUGGCAAGAGAGCAUAGUUUUUUUGUAGUAUUCUUGCAACUUUUCCAUAAGUUUGAAAUUGUCCAAAAUUUAAAAAUGUUUAAAAC